rnacentral:rRNA from 1 species
UACGUAGGGCGCGAGCGUUGUCCGGAUUUAUUGGGCGUAAAGAGCUUGUAGGCGGUCUGUCGCGUCUGCUGUGAAAAUCCGGGGCUCAACCCCGGACUUGCAGUGGGUACGGGCAGACUAGAGUGUGGUAGGGGAGACUGGAAUUCCUGGUGUAGCGGUGAAAUGCGCAGAUAUCAGGAGGAACACCGAUGGCGAAGGCAGGUCUCUGGGCCACUACUGACGCUGAGAAGCGAAAGCAUGGGGAGCGAACAGG